CCUACGGGGGGCUGCAGUGGGGGAUAUUGCACAAUGGGGGAAAGCCUGAUGCAGCGACGCCGCGUGGGUGAAGAAGUAUUUCGGUAUGUAAAGCUCUAUCAGCGGGGAAGAAAGAGGACGGUACCCGACUAAGAAGCCCCGGCUAACUACGUGCCAGCAGCCGCGGUAAUACGUAGGGGGCGAGCGUUAUUCGGAAUUACGGGGUGUAAAGGGAGCGUAGACGGUGUGGCAAGUCUGAAGUGAAAGCCCGUGGCUCAACCGCGGAACCGCUUUGGAAACUGCGAGGCUGGAGUGCUGGAGAGGUAAGCGGAAUUCCUGGUGUAGCGGUGAAAUGCGUAGAUAUCAGGAGGAACACCGGUGGCGAAGGCGGCUUACUGGAAAGUGACUGACGUUGAGGCUCGAAAGCGUGGGGAGCGAACAGGAUUAGAUACCCUUGUAGUC
rnacentral:rRNA from 1 species